rnacentral:rRNA from 1 species
UACGUAGGGUGCGAGCGUUGUCCGGAAUUACUGGGCGUAAAGAGCUCGUAGGUGGUUUGUCGCGUUGUUCGUGAAAACUCACAGCUCAACUGUGGGCGUGCGGGCGAUACGGGCAGACUGGAGUACUGCAGGGGAGACUGGAAUUCCUGGUGUAGCGGUGGAAUGCGCAGAUAUCAGGAGGAACACCGGUGGCGAAGGCGGGUCUCUGGGUAGUAACUGACGCUGAGGAGCGAAAGCGUGGGUAGCGAACAGG